UCCCUGGUGGCUCAGAUGGUAAAGAAUCUGCCUGCAAUGCAGGAUACCUGGGUUCAAUUUCUGGGUAGGGAA
rnacentral:tRNA from 1 species